UACGGAGGGGGCUAGCGUUGUUCGGAAUUACUGGGCGUAAAGAGCUCAUAGGUGGUUUGUCGCGUUGUCCGUGAAAACUCACAACUCAAUUGUGGGCGUGCGGGCGAUACGGGCAGACUGGAGUACUGCAGGGGAAACUGGAAUUCCUGGUGUAGCGGUGGAAUGCGCAGAUAUCAGGAGGAACACCGAUGGCGAAGGCAGGUCUCUGGGCCACUACUGACGCUGAGAAGCGAAAGCGUGGGGAGCGAACAGG
rnacentral:rRNA from 1 species